rnacentral:pre_miRNA from 1 species
CCCGGCCCGAGGAAUGGCCAGGUAUAGCCUAAGAGCAAUGGGGAUGAGAACAUAGAGGAAAGCCUAAGUUAUCGGUUCUUCACCUCUUGUGCCGAGGUGGAAACCCCGUUUGGUAUUUUCCCGAUGCUUCUCAUUCCUAUCGUUCUUAAGCGCUCCUUCCUCUUCCUUUUUGUU